GACGAACCGUGCGAACGUUAUUCGGAAUCACUGGGCUUAAAGCGCGUGUAGGCGGGCGGGUACGUCGGCGACUGAAAGCCCCCGGCUCAACCGGGGAAGGGGUGCCGAAACGGCCGGCCUGGAGGGGCGUAGGGGGACCUGGAACUUCCGGUGGAGCGGUGAAAUGCGUUGAGAUCGGAAGGAACGCCCGUGGCGAAAGCGAGGUCCUGGACGCCAACUGACGCUGAGAGGCGAAAGCCAGGGGAGCGAACGGG
rnacentral:rRNA from 1 species